AAAAAACAACAUAGUGAAUUAUGAUGUCACAUUGUACUAGUUUCUACACAUGAGCAAUCAGUUGAAAGAAAGAACAAGUGAUCUCCAUCUCUAAUGACAUCUAUCUCAUCUAUUUCUACAUCUUCUGCAUUUACAACUUUCUUCAGAUUGUACUCCCCAAAUCUUUGACCUGCCAUUCUGAAUAGCUCUUCUAGUGUAUCGGGUAAUAUUAUUAGCUUCCCAUUCUGCUCUUGCAAUGAGUUGAUGUUGUUUCUCAUGUGAAUAGUAACUCUCUUCUUGAUAGAUUUUCCCCCCUUUGCACCAGUUUGACUUCUAUUACCUGAAUUAGAACAGAAGGGGACCUCAUGGAUACUUUUGUUUCCUACACGUCCUGUGUCAAGUUGAUCUUCUUCCCACCUUCUUUCUGGUAGACUCGGAGCCAUUUCAAUAUGCCCCUUGGGAACUACAGAAUGAUCAAGAACUGUCUGGCGUUUAUGUCCGCAACUUUCACCUUCAUUUUCAACUUGUCUCUUGGUUCUAGCUUCUAAAGUUUGGAUAUUUAUACUAAUCAGGUCGCUAGGGUUGGUUGGCGUAUCUUGCUUAGAAACAUGAGAACUUGGAUCACUUUCCUCGUCCAUGUUAUCAAAGCCUCCAAAUCCUUGCAGGUUCUGAACAAGAUUUCUCAUUAUAAUCCGUUCAUCUUCUUGAUUGUCGCGAAGAAUGUUCAGAAAUGUUUUCCUACUCAGACAUAAAAUUUGAGAAAUUUCAGUUGUUCUAACAGCAUAUGGUUGUGGCCUUCCAAGUAAAACACCUAUUUCUCCAAAUGAUUCUCCAGCAACAGCCUUCCCAAUGAUUUGUUCACGUCCAUCGAUAUCUACUAGAAGAUCCUGCAAUAGUAUGCAUAACUGAUUAAUAACACGAACAACAAAUUCGAUGUGUUCAAGUAAUGGUUCCCAACAUAUUAACUUACCAAUGCUCCUGAGACUACUAUGUAAAAAUCUGUUUGAGACUCAUUCUGUA
rnacentral:misc_RNA from 1 species